rnacentral:rRNA from 1 species
AAUAUUGCGCAAUGGAGGAAACUCUGACGCAGCGACGCCGCGUGAGCGAUGAAGGUCUUCGGAUCGUAAAGCUCUGUCCUUGGGGAAGAAGAUCGAAAGAUUUGACGGUACCCGAGGAGGAAGCCCCGGCUAACUACGUGCCCGCAGCCGCGGUAAUACGUAGGGGGCAAGCGUUGUCCGGAAUUAUUGGGCGUAAAGGGUGCGUAGGCGGCUUUUUAAGUCAGAUGUGAAAGACCACGGCUUAACCGUGGGGUUGCAUUUGAAACUGGAAGGCUUGAGUUAAGGAGAGGAAAGUGGAAUUCCUAGUGUAGCGGUGAAAUGCGUAGAUAUUAGGAGGAAUACCAGUGGCGAAGGCGACUUUCUGGACUUAUACUGACGCUGAGGAACGAAAGCGUGGGGAGCAAACAG